UCUGGUGAUUUUUGAAAAUGUUUGAGUUGACUUUUGAUGCAAGUCAUUCUGUUGACUUCUUUGAGCUAUCUCUUGCCAUGCUUUGACUUCUUUUGCUUGUAAAUUGAUGAUGAUGCAUGAUUUGGACUUGUGACCAAUUGAGCUUGCUUCUUAAGUGUUUGAACUUGAUUUUGGUUGACUUUCAUUUGCUGUUUUGACUUUUUCAUUCUCUUUUGACCCUAGGCUUGUCCUAGUGGUCCAGUUACUUACUGUUGAGCUUAUG
rnacentral:lncRNA from 1 species